GACAGUGUAGCCUAAUAAGUCUGACGUUUUCCGUCAGAAGGUUUAGCGACCAAUGCAUUGUUAGCGAUACGAACGUAACAUCAUUAAGCAACUAGGAUCUUAACGAGACUAGGGUAAAAAAGAGAAACCUUCAAAAGCCGUGAAACUUGUUUCUUUCCGUUGAUAAGACCAAGCGGACAACCCGAACAAGUGGCAACAAUUUGGCCUACCUACUGUCCGACGUUUACGAGAUAGCCUAUAUCCUCCUACAUUAAUGGAACCCCGAGACUUUGGUGAUGCAUCCAAAACAGUUGAAAACGAGCGUAAGAUGAAGACCUUUUUGGCCCUGUGUCUCAUCACCACACUGGUUGUGAUUGUCAGUGCGGAGCUCCAUGAUGACCACCAUGACAACUACACCAUUGUUGUGAUGCUAGAAAAGAAAGUCAAUCCACUGCCUUGCAUGAAGAACCUUGAUAAUAACGCUUACAACAAAUUCAAUAAAAAACACAUUCUUGAUUCUAAUUUCGAUAUUGCUGACAAUAUAGAAUGGAGCAAGUACCUGGAUGAAAAAGGACUCUGUGGGAGAGUCCCUGUCCAGUCUUUUUUCCAAAGAAAUGAUGAAGAAAAAGUCAAGUACAUCUGCAAGGGCCAAGGUUUUGUCUAUAAAGAUAACCUCUGUGUUAGUCAGGUAACCUUUACAGUUUUUCAUGUCACAAGCGACGCUACGCCGUGUAGGGUGACUGAGGUUGUACCAAAAGAGCAAAAGGUCAUGCUGGCCUGUGAUACCAUUGAAAAUGUUGAGUGUCUACCUGUUCACUAUGAGAAAUACAAUGGCCAGGAUCAUGGACCCCAUAAAUGCCAGCAAAUGUGUCGUGUUAUUAACCUUCCCUGAUUUUGGCUCCUACCAACAUCUUUUUUUACCUCUGAUAACAACAAUAAAUUCAGUGUGUCAUAGCUUUGUAUCUCCAGCUUAUACCAUGGCAGGCUGUAAACAGAUAAUCAUGAGUGGGGUAUUCUCCUAAAUCUGCAGGGGUUAUGUGUUAUAAAUUAUCUAAAUAAAAAUAAAAUAGCAAUGUAUUGGUAAAAAAAAUGUCCUAAAAAUUAAAUUGUCCUAAAAUUGUUGAGAAUUGUCAUGUCGCUUUGGCUAAAAAUGUGUCAGCCAAAUGUAUAAUGUAAUGUAAAUUGUGGCUAUAGAAUCAAACAUCCAGGUUGCAUACAUCAUACAAUUUCUAUGCAUUGUUCAUGCUGUGUGUGUAGUCAUGGCUUUAACAAUAUUAUGUUUUUAUUACAUUUUAUGUUUGUUAUAACAUGGCUUAACUGGUUCAUGUUUUGCUUCAUCUGACUAUUUCUACAAAGAUUCCACAACUAAACAAUGGCAAUUAGUGCCUACCAGAGAUCAAUAAAGCAAAUACAAUCUGA